CCGCAUUUGGGAGGAACCUGAUCAUUUCCUGUCUGUAAAUGAAAGUGAAAUAGACUUAAAGCCAGAAUCGCCAUUUCAGCAAGAAACACGAAUAAGAUUCCGGAGGAUAUAAAGAUAUUUGUUUUGCAAGUUUAGGUGAAACUGAAACUACAGCAAAAACUUGAGUCACUGGUCUGAAGUGAUUUUACUCUGAAGUGGAUUUUCAGUACAAGAGAAAACAUCUGUUUAUUAAAGCAAGUUUACUGGUUUGCAGAGAAAAGUAUGGCAAGCUUGGCUGAUUUUUUAGAAUUUGUAGACGACUUCUGCACGUCUUUUGAAUACCAUCUGGAGCAUGACGACACACGGAGAGGUAGUAGGACAUACAUCAUGUACCAUGGUACCACAUUAAGAGCUGCAGUAGAUAUUGAACAGAACGGAUUUCAGCAGUCCAGCGAUGGCAUGCUUGGACCUGGAGUCUAUGUCAGUCGGAGCUUUGAGAAGGCCAAAGCUUACCCAAGAAAUGUACCCUUCUAUGAGCGGAAAGCUGUACUCAAGCUGAGGGUUCGAGUAGGAAAAGUAAAGAAGAUCGACCGGCAGGGACACCCCCUCCAAAAAACCUGGCAUGAGAGUGGAUAUGACACAGCCUGGGUGCCCCCCAACUGCGGAAUGGUUCCUAGCGGCUUGGAGGAAGAUUGUGUUUGGGAUCCCAGCAGGAUCGAAGUUUUAGGUAUAAUCCUGGGUGCAGAGCCUGUCCCAGCCACUAUGGGCAAGGCAAAGACCACUCAGGAUGGGGCACCGACCCACUGCAGGGCGCAGUCACACGCCAUUCACUCACACGCCAUUCACUCACACACUAUUCACUCACACACCAUUCACUCACACACCAUACACUCACACACCAGUCACUCACACACCAGUCACUCACACACCAGUCACUCACACACCAUACACUCACACACCAGUCACUCACACAUGCACAUCUAUGGGCAAUUUGGUAACUUCAAUAAAUCUCAGCAUGUUUUUGGUCUGUGGGAGGAAGCAAGAGUAUCCAGAGGAAACCCCCACCUCAACCAAGAGGGAACAUGCAAACUUCACAUACUUGGAACACAGGCAGAGACCCAGGCAGAGACCCAGGCCCCAGAGGUGUGAGGUGACAGUGCUACCCACUGCACCACUGUGUGAAAUAUGCUACAUAACUUCAUAAUGGAAUGUUAUAUAACCAUCAAAUUUUAUGUUUAUGUCCUAUUAUAGAAGAUAAGAUUGUAAAAUCGUUUGUCAGCAGUGAAAUCUAACACUCUCAGCCAAAAAGCCUAAGAGUGGCUGCUCUGUCCUGAAAUCGUACAGCUGUAGUGUUCAAGCGCAUUAUGUAUUUAAUAAAACAUUAAAUGAG